GGGGAAUAUUGCACAAUGGGGGAAACCCUGAUGCAGCGACGCCGCGUGAAGGAAGAAGUAUUUCGGUAUGUAAACUUCUAUCAGCAGGGAAGAAAAAAGACGGUACCUGACUAAGAAGCCCCGGCUAACUACGUGCCAGCAGCCGCGGUAAUACGUAGGGGGCAGGCGUUAUCCGGAUUUACUGGGUGUAAAGGGAGCGUAGACGGUAUGGCAAGUCUGAUGUGAAAGGCCGGGGCUCAACCCCGGGACUGCAUUGGAAACUGUCGGACUGGAGUGCCGGAGGGGUAAGCGGAAUUCCUAGUGUAGCGGUGAAAUGCGUAGAUAUUAGGAGGAACACCAGUGGCGAAGGCGGCUUACUGGACGGUAACUGACGUUGAGGCUCGAAAGCGUGGGGAGCAAACAGG
rnacentral:rRNA from 1 species